rnacentral:rRNA from 1 species
AUUGAACGCUGGCGGCAGGCCUAACACAUGCAAGUCGAACGAGUGGCGGACGGGUGAGUAAUGUAUGGGAAACUGCCUGAUGGAGGGGGAUAACAACUGGAAACGGUAGCUAAUACCGCAUACCAUCGGAUGUGCCCAGAGUGGAUUAGCUAGUAGGUGGGGUAAAGGCCCACCUAGGCGACGAUCCCUAGCUGGUCUGAGAGGAUGACCCGCCACACUGGAACUGAGACACGGUCCAGACUCCUACUGGAGGCAGCAGUGGGGAAUAUUGCACAAUGGGCGCAAGCCUGAUGCAGCCAUGCCGCGUGUAUGAAGAAGGCCUUCGGGUUGUAAAGUACUUUCGGCGGUGAGGCGUUACCCGCAGAAUAAGCACCGGCUAACGCCGAGCCAGCAGCCGCGGUAAUAC